rnacentral:tRNA from 1 species
ACUUGGUGGCUAGUGGUAGGGUUCUUGCCUAGUGUACAUGAGGCCCUGGGUUUGAUCCCCAGCAUUGAGAG